CAGCCACGCCACGUUGAAACACCGGUUCCCGUACGAUCACAGAAGUUAAGCAACAUCGUGCCUGGUCAGUACAUACAUAGAUGACCGCUUGGGAAUACCAGGUACUGCAAG